GGAGGGAUCAUUAACGAGUUAGGGCCUCUGGCCCGACCUCCAACCCUUUGUCUCCAAAACCUCGUUGCCUCGGGGGUGGCCCUGCCUCACAGCGGGUCCCCCGGAGGACCACUAUAACUCUGCAUCUGAAUGUCGUCUGAGUAAGAUUUUUAAUGAAAUCAAAACUUUCAACAACGGAUCUCUUGGUUCUGGCAUCGAUGAAGAACGCAGCGAAAUGCGAUAAGUAAUGUGAAUUGCAGAAUUCAGUGAAUCAUCGAAUCUUUGAACGCAUAUUGCGCCCCUUGGUAUUCCUUGGGGCACACCUGUUCGAGCGUCAUUUCACCAAUCAAGCCUCGCUUGGUAUUGGGCGAUGCGCAUGCCGCACGCCCCAAAUGCACCGGCCGAGCGUGCUCUCCCCCGGCGUCGUGGAGACAUAUCGCCACGGGGAUGGGACCGCCCUCGCGCCGCAAAAACCUCUCAUAAAGGUUGACCUCGGAUCAGGUGGGGAUACCCGCUGAACUUAAGCAUAUCAAUAAGCGGAGGAAAAGAAACCAACAGGGAUUGCCCUAGUAACGGCGAGUGAAGCGGCAAAAGCUCAGAUUUGAAAUCUGGCGUCUUUGGCGUCCGAGUUGUAAUCUGUAGAGGAUGCCUUUGGGUAGCCACCGGUCUAAGUCCUCUGGAACGGGGCGUCAUAGAGGGUGAGAAUCCCGUAUGUGACCGGAAGGGCGCCCUAUACAUGGCUCCUUCGACGAGUCGAGUUGUUUGGGAAUGCAGCUCUAAAUGGGAGGUAAAUUCCUUCUAAAGCUAAAUACCGGCCAGAGACCGAUAGCGCACAAGUAGAGUGAUCGAAAGAUGAAAAGCACUUUGGAAAGAGAGUUAAAAAGCACGUGAAAUUGUUGAAAGGGAAGCGCUUGCAACCAGACUUGUUGGCGGUGUUCCGCCGGUCUUCUGACCGGUCUACUCACCGUCUGCAGGCCAGCAUCAUCUGGGGCCGCCGGAUAAAAGCUUGGGGAAUGUGGCUCCUCCGGGAGUGUUAUAGCCCCUUGUGCAAUACGGCGCGUCUCGGGUGAGGUCCGCGCUUCGGCUAGGAUGCUGGCGUAAUGGUCGUAAGCGGCCCGUCUUGAAACACGGACCAAGGAGUCUAACAUCUAUGCGAGUGUUCGGGUGUCAAACCCCUACGCGUAAUGAAAGUGAACGGAGGUGGGAACCUUAGGGUGCACCAUCGACCGAUCCUGAUGUCUUCGGAUGGAUUUGAGUAAGAGCAUAGCUGUUGGGACCCGAAAGAUGGUGAACUAUGCCUGGAUAGGGUGAAGCCAGAGGAAACUCUGGUGGAGGCUCGCAGCGGUUCUGACGUGCAAAUCGAUCGUCAAAUUUGGGUAUAGGGGCGAAAGACUAAUCGAACCAUCUAGUAGCUGGUUCCUGC
rnacentral:misc_RNA from 1 species